rnacentral:misc_RNA from 1 species
GAAAUGCGAUAAGUAGUGUGAAUUGCAGAAUUCAGUGAAUCAUCGAAUCUUUGAACGCACAUUGCGCCCCUCGGUAUUCCGUGGGGCAUGCCUGUUCGAGCGUCAUCUACACCCUCAAGCUCUGCUUGGUGUUGGGCGUCUGUCCCGCCUCCGCGCGCGGACUCGCCCCAAAUGCAUUGGCAGCGGUUCCUUGCCCCCCUCUUUGCGCAGCACAUUGCCAUUCGAGGCGGCGGCGGCCCGCGUCCCACAAGCUCAACCCCCCCGUCUUUGACCUCGGAUCAGGUAGGGAUACCCGCUGAACUUAAGC